rnacentral:rRNA from 1 species
GAUGAACGCUGGCGGCGUGCCUAAUACAUGCAAGUCGAGCGAACAGACGAGGAGCUUGCUCCUCUGACGUUAGCGGCGGACGGGUGAGUAACACGUGGAUAACCUACCUAUAAGACUGGGAUAACUUCGGGAAACCGGAGCUAAUACCGGAUAAUAUAUUGAACCGCAUGGUUCAAUAGUGAAAGACGGUUUUGCUGUCACUUAUAGAUGGAUCCGCGCCGCAUUAGCUAGUUGGUAAGGUAACGGCUUACCAAGGCAACGAUGCGUAGCCGACCUGAGAGAGUGAUCGGCCACCCUGGAACUGAGACACGGUCCAGACUACUACGGGAGGCAGCAGUAGGGAAUCUUCCGCAAUGGGCGAAAGCCUGACGGAGCAACGCCGCGUGAGUGAUGAAGGUCUUCGGAUCGUAAAACUCUGUUAUUAGGGAAGAACAAAUGUGUAAGUAACUAUGCACGUCUUGACGGUACCUAAUCAGAAAGCCACGGCUAACUACGUG